UGGCUCUCGCAUCGAUGAAGAACGCAGCGAAAUGCGAUAAGUAAUGUGAAUUGCAGAAUUCAGUGAAUCAUCGAAUCUUUGAACGCACCUUGCGCCUUUUGGUAUUCCAGAAGGCAUGCCUGUUUGAGUGUCAUGUGGACUCAACCCAAAAGGUUUUUCCUUCUGGGCUUGGACUUGGGCGCCUGCCUCUGGCUCGCCUUAAAAGCGUUAGUGGGAUAACUUGAAGCCCGAUGUAAUAAGUUUCAUCUGGUGAAGAGGGAAGCCUGCUCACAACCCCCAUAUUUACAUCUCUGACCUCAAAUCAGGUAGGACUACCCGCUGA
rnacentral:misc_RNA from 1 species